rnacentral:rRNA from 1 species
CCUACGAGUGGCAGCAGUGAGGAAUAUUGGUCAAUGGGCUAAGGCCUGAACCAGCCAAGUCGCGUGAGGGAAGACGGUCCUAUGGAUUGUAAACCUCUUUUGUCGGGGAGCAAAGAGGCCACGUGUGGCCGAAGUGAGAGUACCCGAAGAAACAGCAUCGGCGAACUCCGUGCCAGCAGCCGCGGUAAUACGGAGGAUGAGAGCGUUAUCCGGAUUUAUUGGGUUUAAGGGGUGGGUAGGCGGAUCAUUAAGUCAGCGGUAAAAUCGAGGGGCUCAACCCCUUUAAGCCGUUGAAACUGGCGGGCUGGAGUUGGAGAGAAGUACGCGGAAUGCGCGGUGUAGCGGUGAAAUGCUUAGAUAUCGCGCAGAACCCCGAUUGCGAAGGCAGCGUACCGGCUCCACACUGACGCUGAGGCACGAAAGCGUGGGUAUCGAACAGGAUUAGAUACCCCUGGUAGUC